AUUCAAAUAAACGCUGCCUCUCGCCGGCGACGAGCGCGAGGGGCGGGGCCUGCCCGGCGUGAGCGGGGGACGCGCCGUGUGAUUGCCCAGGAGAGAGGAAGGCGCUCCAGUUCCGGGUCAGGCCCUUCGCCCCGCCUCGCCGGGCCUCCGCCAUGGCGGGUAGCAGCGGCGCCGGGGCGGCGGCGGCGGCGGCAGCGAAUCUGAAUGCGGUGAGGGAGACCAUGGACGUUCUGCUUGAGAUUUCAAGAAUUCUGAAUACUGGAUUAGAUAUGGAAACCCUGUCUAUAUGUGUCCGGCUUUGUGAACAAGGAAUUAACCCAGAAGCUUUAUCGUCAGUUAUUAAGGAACUUCGCAAGGCCACUGAAGCAUUAAAGUAGGUUGCCAUGAAGAGACUCUUGGUAGAGCUGUAGAUGUUAAAGGUGAUUCUGGUGAGAGCUCAGAAAGAAGAGAGAGCACCAGUCAUCUUAGCCGCUGAAAAUAUGACAAGCUGACUUUCUGAAGAAAUCCUGAUGAGGUUUGUCAGGCUCUGCCAGACGACUGAAGAUCACGUUGCAGUCAAGAACGUACAAUGAAAUUGCUGCAUGCAGCCGUGUAGAAACAUUUUCCUUUUUAAAAGAAUUACCAAACCAUAGCUUUAUGAAUCAGUGGAAAGUGGCUUCCAGAGAGAACUAUCAGUUGUGUUUACACCACAUCUUACCUUCCUUUAACAGCUCUAAUGCUUUGGCAUUGCUGUGUUCAUAUUUAUGUAUUCCUUAUUUAUAGCUCUGAUAGCUUUAAUUUUCUGAGCAGUCUGUCUGUCAUGUGCGCACAUCUGUUGUGCCUGGUGGAAAUAUCAUAGACCCUGUCAGUGGUAAUGUUGUAGUUAGGACUGGUUGACAUUUCCAUUAUAAACUUUAAUUUUGAAUUGUUUAUGCAAAAUAACUGUGGAUUUAUGUUGUAUAAAGCUGAAAGUUGACAGAAUUUCAGCUACCAUUUGUGGAUUUUGAUUUAGAUUCAUUAGGUAUAUAAGAAUCUUGUUUUUAGAUUCAUUAGGUAUAUAAGAAUCUUGUUUUUUAUAAGAAAACAUGUAUUGUAAUCUGCUCUGUAACAAAGAAUAUUUAGUUUUUUAAAGUUUGGCAGUUAAUAGUAUGAAGCAGAUCAUCUUUGAGUUGAUUGAAAAAUACAGCUUUUAGAAACUCAGAUUUUAAAAGUAAGGACAUUGUUUAGCUUAGUAUUAUUUGAUUUGAAUCAUUUAAAUUUAGUGAGAGUAUUAACAGAAUGUUUUUCUUUCUAAGUUUUACACUCUUUAAAUCACGGCCUCAAAAAAAUAAUGCAUAGUGAAACAUUUGCAACAUGAAAAUUUCUUUUUACUUUUGUUAUAUAAAAAUAAUUUGAGUGCUUACCUAAUGUAUCUUGUGUGGUUAUCUGGUAAAUCACUAAGUAGGUGGUGUCAUUCAACAAAUACGUUAUUUUCUGAAGGAAUAAAGAUUUCUAGUCAUUAAACAAAAACUAAAUAAUCAAAUGUUCUUUAUCAGGAAUUCUAAAUAUGCCUUUCUGAUAUCAUCUUUGUGUGUCAUUAUUUUUACCCUGAAAGUUUUAACUAAUUGAAGUGAUGGUUCAAAAUAAAUUUUAGGAAACUUAGGAUAGCAUUGAUUCUGUUCCUGUAGCAGAAUCUCAAUAGAAUAUUUUCCCCAAGACUCAUAUGAAUUUAAUCUGCUUUUUUUAGACGUUGUUAGCCUCCAUUUAAAUUGACAGUACAAGCAUAUACUCUUCGGUAGCAUUUUUUGUUCUUCGUACAAACUGAAGUGACUUUAAUAAGGCUUAGUCAUAUUAAAUGGUCACCUUCUGCUCUGUUUUAAAAAUCUAGUUUUUUGACCAUUUUGACUUUUUAAAUGCAUGGCAUCUUUACCCAGUGCACUGAAGGUCUAUUAUAUUGGGAGAACUGUUAGGGAGACAAUGAAACUUGUGAUUGUAAGUCACCUAUUUGAUUAAAAAACAUUGCAAAUAAUGCAUGUUGUUAUUUAUAUAAAAUCAUAAAGAGAAAACUUGUCAAGCUCGAAAAUUUGUACAUACUCUUAGGUCAUAAGAGUUAACAGUUUUAUUUAUGGUUUUGUAGAUUAUGUUAUUUAUGUACAAAACAAAGCAGGAAAAUAUAUUGAGAAGGAGUUGUGUUUACAGAGGACUUUUUAAUGUCUUACGUUUCUUAAAUGUAAACAUAUAUUUUUAAUGCAUACUCAAGAAAUAUUUAAGGAAACCAAACAAAUGAUACAAUUGCAUUGCUGUGCAUGUUGUCGGUGACAGAAAUAAAACCAUUUUGGUGCUGUCGGCAUGUA